AGGGUUGUGGUUUCUGUGAUAGACCAUCUGCUUGGCAUGCAGGAAGUCCCAGGUUCAAUCCCUGGCAUCUGUU
rnacentral:tRNA from 1 species